UCAAGACUGUAGAUUCCAGAUAAAUGUUGAUUCAUUUUAACUAUUUUUUAGCCUCGUUGCUUGUUGCAGGUCCCGUGUGCCUGAGUCCUCCGCCCACAUGAGGAAUAUUUCUCGCUGAAAAAGGAAGGAAACAAGUGAUUAGAUGAUUUCACGUUUAGUUUUUUCAGAGAUUCUUUAGGGAAUGGAGAUCAGUUUCAUGGAUGACAUCCCAGUUUUCUCAUCAU
rnacentral:lncRNA from 1 species